CCUGAGCUGGCAAGGCCUUGGGCUUCAGUGAAGAUAUCCUGCCAGGCUUUCUACACCUUUUCCAGAAGGGUGCACUUUGCCAUUAGGGAUACCAACUACUGGAUGCAGUGGGUAAAACAGAGGCCUGGACAGGGUCUGGAAUGGAUCGGGGCUAUUUAUCCUGGAAAUGGUGAUACUAGUUACAAUCAGAAGUUCAAGGGCAAGGCCACAUUGACUGCAGACAAAUCCUCCAGCACAGCCUACAUGCAACUCAGCAGCCUGACAUCUGAGGACUCUGCGGUCUAUUACUGUGCAUGA